CGUGUUCAUAGGUACCUCGUCGAUGGCUGUUCAUCCACAUCGGAGACAGCAAACCUGUGCCGGUGGCCUUGCAGCGUAGAGAGUCAAGAUUAACAUCGUCACUUACGCACCGAAACCGCAUUCAUAGGCAUGCCUAUGUUUGCAAACUUCACUUUGAGGAUAAAUUUAUCAAAGAUGAUAAAAGAGUGCCUUUCUCAUAGCCUACAUUAUUCUCAGAAGUGGAAAUAGCAUGUCGAAAACUCACUUGUCCUGUAACUGUCUCUGUCCGGACAGUGGGAGAUCAUACUUAUGCUGUAUCACUGCAGAUAAAUGCAGUGUUGGUGACCCGGAAUAGAAAGAGGACCACAGAACACAGACCACACACAUAAUAUUCAACAUAUCGACUGACAAAAAUAAAAGUGAUGUUGCUUAGUUUAACAUGCUCGAUGGUUUAACACGACAAUGUGACAUGAUAACGUGAUUUAAAGGUAUUUUCAAGGAUUUAGUG